rnacentral:misc_RNA from 1 species
AACGCACGAGACCUGCGGACCUGCGGAGGGAUCAUUAUAGAGUUUUUACAACUCCCAACCCUUUGUGAACUUUGUUCUCUAUUUCUGCUUCGACAGGUGGUCCCAGGGCGGGACCAGCGCCCGUCUAACCAGACGGGCACCUGUCAGAGGUGGAACAAGACUCUGUUUUUCAAUGAGUAUCUGAGUGGUUUAUAAAAUAAGUUAAAACUUUCAGCAACGGAUCUCUAGAUCGGAAGAGCA